AGAACGAACGCUGGCGGCAGGCUUAACACAUGCAAGCCGAACGCCCCGCAAGGGGAGUGGCAGACGGGUGAGUAACACGUGGGAACGUGCCCUAAGGUUCGGAACAACUCCGGGAAACUGGAGCUAAUACCGAAUGUGUCCGUAAGGAGAAAGAUUUAUCGCCUUAGGAUCGGCCCGCGUCGGAUUAGCUAGUUGGUGGGGUAAUGGCCUACCAAGGCGACGAUCCGUAGCUGGUCUGAGAGGACGACCAGCCACACUGGGACUGAGACACGGCCCAGACUCCUACGGGAGGCAGCAGUGGGGAAGUCUUGGACAAUGGGCGGCAAGCCUGAUCCAGCCAUGCCGCGUGGAUGAUGAAGGCCUUAGGUUGUAAAAUCCUUUCGCCGAGGACGAUAAUGACGGUACUCGGAGAAGAAGCUCCGGCUAACUUCGUGCCAGCAGCCGC
rnacentral:rRNA from 1 species